rnacentral:misc_RNA from 1 species
GAUGAAGAACGUAGCGAAAUGCGAUACUUGGUGUGAAUUGCAGAAUCCCGUGAACCAUCGAGUCUUUGAACGCAAGUUGCGCCCGAAGCCAUUAGGCCGAGGGCACGCCUGCCUGGGUGUCACACGUCGUUGCCCCCCCAUCUACUCCUUCGGGAUUGCGGGGGGCGGAUGAUGGCCUCCCGUGCGCCUCGUCGCGCGGUUGGCAUAAAUGCCAAGUCCUCGGCGACGCACGCCACGACAAUCGGUGGUUGCGAAACCUCGGUUGCCCGUCGUGUGCGGUCGUCGCGCAUCGAGGGCUCGAAAAAAUUGCCGGGCUCCGGCUCGGCUUUCAACGCGACCCCAGGUCAGGCGGGGUUACCCGCUGAAUUUAAGCAUAUCAAUAAGCGGAGGG